rnacentral:rRNA from 1 species
GACGAACGCUGGCGGCGUGCUUAACACAUGCAAGUCGAACGAAGUGGCGAACGGGUGAGUAACGCGUAAUCAACCUGCCCUUCAGAGGGGGACAACAGUUGGAAACGACUGCUAAUACCGCAUACUGACGGAGGGGUAUGCGUCUGGUUAGCUAGUUGGAGGGGUAACGGCCCACCAAGGCGAUGAUCAGUAGACGGUCUGGGAGGGUGAACGGCCACAUUGAGACUAAGACACGGCCCAGACUCCUACGGGAGGCAGCAGUGGGGAAUCUUCCGAAAUGGACGAAAGUCUGACGGAGCGACGCCGCGGUAAUAC